AUAUUUUUUGGCAUACAAUGAUUUCUAGAAGAAAAUCCAAAUUUAAGACAAGACCGAAAGCAGCCAGUAGCAAUACGGAUAGUCAAAGUCCAGCCGUGAUUGCUGAGGAAUGGACUAAAGAUGAAAAAUUUUUUCUAUACCAAGCUCUAAAAGAUUUUGGAUCUUACGAUAUUGAUGCAAUUUGUCAAGCUAUACCAUCGAAAUCUAAGGAACAGGUAGCACAGGCCGUGAAUCACUACAAAAAAAGAGCAUUCAAGCAGCAUGAGGGAAAACCAGAGGGGAAGAGGAAAACACAAGUGCGUCACACCCGUGUUCCAUUACUGUCAUGGGCCCAGCUGCUCAUAGACAGUUCCAAUUUUGAAGAUCUCAAAACCGACAGUGCAAAUGCUCUCCGACUAAUAGCUAAGUUUGAGAAUAUUCCUGCAACAAUAUGCACAGAGAACAUUGAUUUUCGACACCUGUACCAUGUUGUAGCAAAUGCUAUGGAAGGCAAAGCUCUUCAAGAGGAUUACACUAUAGCUUUGGUACUAGAUAAGUGUUUUACUGAAGCAGUUUUAGUAUCCAAAGCUUUUAUGAGAAACACAACUUUAAUCAGCAUUAUGGAAAAUUAUCUUAAAGCUGCCAAUACAGCUCAUAAAGAGAUAACCACAGUUUAUAAGCCUGGUAUUGAACCAGCAGAAGCAGCAAUUAGGCAUUUAGCUACUAAGAAUAAUUACAACCCAUUUAGUAUUGCAGAGAGUAAUUUAAAAUUGGAAUAAAACAGUAAGUGUAACCCCUUAUGCAUAGGGUUACCAUUCUAUUUUUUUUAUUUUAUUAUUAGGAAUAACAGUCAACUUAAAUAUUGUUCUUUUAGGCUAAAAUAGUUAUCCACAAUGACAUACAUUAUUGAAGCUUUACAAAUGAACAGAACAAAACAAAUUUAGUAGUGGGCUUAGAGAAUUUGAAUUUGAAGUCACAACAAAAAGUAAAUGUCAA